ensembl:lncRNA
GGGUAUGCAAGUUCUAUCUAUCCAAUAGGAACAUAUUUCACUGAAGUAUGCUGUAUUUCUGAAAAUCCUUAAAUUGCUAUCUGAGUACCACUCCUGAGUUGCAUUUUAUGAUUCCUAAAUUAUAUGAUGCUAUAGCAGAAACAGUGAUCUUUGUCUUAUUCACAGUCUUAGCCAAGACUGCUAGAAAGCAAGCAUAUGAAGUUUGAUACUCUAGGAUGAUAAUGUCAAAUCUUACUCAAUGAAGUUCCUUAAAAUUCAAUCCCCUGCCUUUAGUCUAUUACUAUUACUCUCACCAGUUACUAUAACUACCGUGACACACACAUGGACUGUUCAUCACCUUAUUUUGAGAUUCUCAAAUUUGAGAGAACUGUAAAGAUAUGAAAAACUGGGUAUUGGAGUUGAAAAGAUGAAAGGUUAUGACAUGUACAUUUCAUGAAAGUUAGUUUAGAACAAACGCUUCAUUUUCCCAAUGAAUCCUAAUUACAAAGUAGGUACUUUGGCACAAUAUUUCCCUCUUAACUGUUUGCUACAACACUGGGAGUGGAUGAAUAAUAGCGGACCUCAGAUGACUCAAUGGUCCAGGAGGACAAAUCUUUGUACAGAGGGGAACAGGGCGUAUUUCACUGCUAAGGGUUCCAUCUCAUAAUCCUCCUAGUUAAGAGGACUGUGGAUGCUCUCAAAGGCACAAAGGGAUAGCAUUCUGCCUAUUAAAUGUGCUUCUGCAUUAAUCCAGAAGUUCUUUGUUGAUAAACAGAUGCACAGCAACCACAUUUAAAUUUCAGAACCUUACAAUUAGAUGUAUUUGAAUAAAAAAGAAAAACAGGGAACCCAAAGCUAUUAAGUGGAGCUUUUUAAAGUCGUGGCCAGGUGCUAUUUCAACACAAACAUGUCAGUUCCAUCCCAGUUAAAGCAGAUAAAAUCCUCCAGUCUCUUCAAGAGUUGUGCUUGGACAACGAAAUGGGAAUUUUGUGUAGGGUUUUUCAGGUGUGAUGUUUUUAAAAAUUUUUGAGAAUAAUAUUUUCAAGGCAAUUGCUUUUGAACAGGGCAGCAAGGGGAAGCCAAGUUAGGUUAACAGAUCAACCAUAGAAAAUUCAAGAGGGUCCUUUGCUGGGUGAGAGGGAGUCUGUGGCUUUGCCAUGUGGUUGUGUGGCUCCACCAAGUUGCCCUGCCUGUUUUGCAGGGGUUUGUGGUGUAUUCACUGACACCUCAGUGGCUGCAGGCUGAGGAUGGCUCUUAGGCGGGCUCAGCCAGCUUGGCACACUCUCAGCUCUGGGAAGUCCACGCUGUUUUAACAAAGAGCAGGUGGGCGAAAAAGCUCAACACUGCAGGGCACGUUGCGCAGCUGUGAGAGGUGGAAUUCCCCUCAAAAGGAUCGGCACUGCUUUGAAAAUAAAUUCAUCAUUAAAACAGAAGGAUUUCUGAAGCAGUCGACGAACACAGGGCUUGAUUGGUUUCAAAUUAACUCUUUGUACUCAUCUUUCAUUCACCCCUUAAGAAGACGUCUCAGCGUUUUCCAGGGAGGUAACACAAAUAAUCCUUGACAUCUUUUCAAGGAGGAGAGUAAAAAGUUGGAGCACUCCACCACUGCAUCUGCUUUCCAUUCGCCCUGCAUCUCGCUGCUUCGAUGCGCUGUGGGGAGGCACCCAUGCUGCAGUGCAGGCGCUCUGUUUUGCUUCAUGUUCAGUAUUUAGGAAAAGAGGGGUGUGCUUCUCCCUGGACGGAGGGUCUAUGCUUAUCCUGAAGGCUAGGCAGUUGCUCCUUCUUCCUCCUCCUUUCCCUUUCUUCCCCUCUUUCUGGAUCUGUCUCUUCCUUCAGCCCCUCUCCCCCACACUGGCCCCCUCCCUGGGAGUUAAGAAUGGCCUCACUUCUGUUCUUCUUGCUACUAAUUUAAAGCCCUUCCUCUCCCUUGUGGAAAAUAUCUGAUAACGCCGUUUUCUCUGAGGGAGGCCAUUUGUAUAUCUUUCGACCACGAAUCCCAUAAACAAUUAAAUGCAGAGCAGGCUAGCCUGUGGAAACCUUUCUGGCUACUUAAGUGAAGUUUCCUAAUCCUUUUCUGCAGCGACCCAGGCUCUGGGGCCCAUUCAUCUGCCGUUGCUUCUCAAGCACUUUGAUCUCAGGCCUUCAUUACAGCUCAUUUCAGCAUUAAGGAUGAUCUGAAUUCAUGAGCUCUUCCCUUCCUAAUAAGUGCCAUUCAUAUCCAUCCUCAGGAGCAACCACAGCUCACAGAAAACUGGUUCAAACCACACGCAAAAGAAUAAUGGACUAGCUUCAAACACAAGUGAAAAACGGGGGUUUUAUUAGCCGAAUAAACCUCUGAAUGAGCUGCUUCAUUAAACAGAGGAGUCUCGUUUUCAGGGCGCUGUUAAAUCCACCAGUUGCCACUCUGAGAUUAGUAAGUGUGAUUACUUCAUUUUUUUUUCAGGUGGAAAUCCUGAGGUGGAAGAGAGACUGAAAUAUACUCACUACACCCAAUGCAGGCUACAGCUGAUCUGGGGUUUAUUUGGCUUCAUAGAUUUUUCAGCCAGAGACCGUGUUACAUAUCUUUCCUGUUAGAUUGUCUGGAGUGAUGCGCCACUCCUAAAAAGAACCUACUCUUUUUUUUUUUUUUCCUUUAAAAGGGAAAAAAAAAAACUAAUUUGGAUUCAGCUAAUACCCUUGUAACUUCUAAAGCUGUGAAGCCAAAAAAGGAAGAGAUAAUUAGAAGAUGAUGAGAGCUAGCACAUAGCCCGGUGGACGGAAAAAGAGGUACAGAGAAAGGUGGCAAACCUGCCACCGAGUCCAUUAACAGCCUUUGCUAUAAUUAUGUUUUGCUCUGGCUUUAAACUGGUGAAAGCACAAAGGAGACACUAUUAACGUCUUUUGCCCGCAGAAGAAAGUUCAUCCUGUAUACCCGGUGAGUAGGGUGCGCCGAAGUGCGGCUUCAAUGCACCGUCUGCUCGCAUGCUCAGUCGUGUGUGCCUCUUUGCGACCCCACGGACUGUGGCCCGCCAGACUCCUCUGUCCAUGGGGAAUCUUCAGGCAAGAAUACUGGAGUGGGUUGCCUUGCCCUCCUCCAGGACAUCUUUCCAUCCCAGGGAUCAAACCCGGGGGUCCUGCAUUGCGGGCAGAUUUUUUACCAUCAGAGCUACCAGCUAAGCCCAUGAAUACUGGAGUGGGUUGCCAUUUCCUUCCCCAGGGGAGGUUCCCGGCCCAGGAAUGGAACCCGAGUCCCCUUGAGUCUCCAGCAUCGGCAGGCGGGUUCUUUACUACUGAGGAACCUGGGAGACCGAUUUUAAUUGACCACUUAGCAAGAACGGUCAACGAAAUGGCAGAAACAGCGAGGAAAGAGUGGAUGGCAUUCGUUUGAAAGUCCUUGAAAGCUCUUCAGCGGCACUCCCUGCUGCCGCUCUAGUGGUUCGUUUUCUGCCCACCUCCUUGUCUUCUCUGCCCUUCCGCACGGCUCCGUAUCCUCUCCCGGAACUCCUCAAUGUGCGUGGCCUUUAGGAAAGGAGACAAGGGGGAACCACGGGCCGGCUCCCUCCACGGGCGGUGCGGCACUUGGGCACAGCGGAGGAGGAACGCCCUCCUCUGCGGAUCCGAGGGGACAGAGCCUCUGUGGACCCCGACAGCCCCGCCCAGGGCCUGUCGGGUCUCAGCAGAUUUCCGAAGGGGAAGCGCCUCACCGUCUCUCCAGGGGCCCUCACGGUUCUAAAGGGCUGGGCCCUACGCACCACCUUCACUCCUAUCCAUACCCUGUGAAAGGCUAAAAUUAAAAUUAAUGGCAGGAAGAGGAGCUUAGAGAUCCCCCUCACUGAGCCUUUCAAUUAAGGCUACUGAUUAGAUCUUAGAUUUCCUUACCACAUAAAAAAAGACUCAGGGUUCGCUCCUGUGAGUGGUGGUUUCUGUUUUUGUCUUUCCCACCCCCCACCCGCGUCCCCGCUUGGCUCUGCCGGGUGUUUUUAAUUUUGCUGCCCUGCCUAACCAAGCGCUGCUGCUGGAGCAGAGGGAAGCAUCCCAGAUGCCCUUUCUGUACUGGGCCAGGAACAAGCAUCCCCUACUAUUCACCUGUGUGGCCAAUGAAGUAAUCCUUCCACCAUUUCCAGACCUGUCCAGAGCCUCAGCACCUGUGGAAACCACUUAUCUGCACUGUGUUCCCUUUGCUGUGCACACUUGAAGUGGCUUCUCUUCUGUGGACACCCUGGUGCUGCAGUGCCCACAGCCCUGAGCCUGUGCCUCAUUCCACUUUGAACCUGAAGUGUCAGCAUGGCACCUGGAUAAUGUCAGCGCCACGGACACUGCACAUGUGUUGCUUCACCAAAUGACGGUGCUCUGUGAGCACUGGUGUGCUUUCUCAUCAGGGGCCCUUGCCAGUUCUAGAGAUCGGAAGUCUGGAAUCAGUCUCGCUGGGCUAACGUCAAGGUUUCACAUGGCUGGUUGCUGAGGCUCUGAGAGGAGACGCCAUUUCUUGGCAUUUUUCAGCUCCUGGUGGCUGCCUGUGUUCAUUGACAGCUUCCUCCAGCAAAAGUAUAUCACUCCAGCCUCUACUUACAUCAUCACAUUGCCUCCUCCAGUGACACUGAGUCUUCCUGUGUCUCACAUAGAAAGACCCCUGUGAUUACACUGAGCUCACCUAGAUAAUGUUGGUUUCUAAUAUGAUUAUCCAAAAAAAGAAAAAGAACUAGGGCUCCCAGAAGAAUUGGCUGAUUCUAGGGCUGCGAUUCAUGGGGUCGCAGGGAGUCGGACACGACUGAGCAACUGAACUGAACUGAGGGCUGGGACAUGAAGUACACAAAAUGAGCUGGGAAGAUUUUUGCAGUGCUCAGAAAGCUCAAAGGAUGUAAGCACAUCAGAGAGACAUAGGAGCCAAUCUGAAAAAGCACUCAGGAGCAAAAUCUGCAACAAUGUGAGCAAUUAAAUAGACAAUGUCAUAUUGGAUUAUAAUUCAAAAUUUACAAUAAAUAUCCUUGAGUCCAUUCUGAUGCAAAUAAAUGACUAAACAAGGAAAUAAAUGAGGAAGAGACAAAUCUCCUGUACAGAAAAAUUCCCAAUAAUUUGUGUAGAUUCUGCUACUUCAAGAUGGUGAAGUUUGACUCACCUCUUGAGUGAGCUGUGCUUAGUGAUCUCCUUACAAAAACAAAAGUAAGAAAAGAGGGGGAAGAUAAUUUUACCGUGGAGAAAUCUGGCAAACGAUUCUCCAACCAGGUGAUCAGAGUUAUCAUUGCCAGUGAUAAGUCCUGUUGAAGCAUGUAUUUCUGACAUUGUGUGAUGAAAAUGGGACUUCACCUCCAUGAUCGUCUUCCCCCAAAUGCAUUAUCCUAACCUCACCAUGAAAAAAAAAAUCAGAAAAAUCAAAGUUCCAGGACAUCCUACAAAAUACCUGACCGCUAUUCCUUUGAUGUCAAGGCCAUAGAGGGAGAAAAAAAAGACCAGUCUGAGAAUCUGUCAUAGUCAAAAAGAAAACAAGAGACAUGAAAACUAAAUGCAAUGUGAUAUUCUGAAGGGAGUCCCAAACCAGAAAAAGGGCAUUAGGGAAAAAUU